GCGCAAUUGAGUUUUUUAAUAUUAAAGAUAUAUCAGCGAGAGAUUCCCAUGUGUGUUUCCAGAAUAUUGUUUUUCCAUCAGAAAACUUCACGUGACUAAGCAUUUUUGUCUCACUCAAGGUAGGUGGCAUUCUCAAUCCCAUCUAGAUCAUGAGAAAGAUUCAAGCCCCCAACAAUAUAAGAAAAGCUAAGUUCUUGCAGAGCUCGCUGGCUGCACCAGAUUUUCCAUUUAUUGGACAUGGCCGAUUAUGAUGCAGAAAAAAUGUGGGAAGGCGCAGUUAGUGCCAAGCUAACCAGCUGCAGGGCCGAUCAGAUAUGGCCUCUCUUGGAGGACUUCUUCAACUUCGGCAAGUGUCUUCCAGGAACAAUAGAUACAUGUUAUGGAAUUGAAGGCAUCUCAGGUCAGCCAGGCUGCAUCAGAUACUGUGCCAAGACAUCCAUCUCUGAUGAUGGUUCAGGAGAAAUGACAACAAUAUGGGCAAAUGAGAAGCUGCUUGCCAUUGACCCCGAUCGAAGGUGUUUGAGCUACUCGCUCCAGGAAAACAGUAUAGGGUUUAAAUCGCAUAUGGCUACAAUCAAAUUAUUGCCUCUUGGAAGCCAAGAGCAAGAAGGGUGUGAAGUAGUCUGGUCCUUCACUCUGAAACCAAUUGAAGGACAGACUAUUGACCAUAUAGUUUCUUUGUAUGAUUCUUGUAUACAAGCUAUGGCAAAGCACAUAGAGGACGCUCUCCAGGUUAAAAGCAAUGAAUAAAUGUCUCCAAGUCUACAAAUUCAUUUCGUGUAUGGGGUCUAUAGUUUCUUUAUAGUCAACUCAUCAUUCAUGUUUUCGGUUCCAAUCUAAUUGCCAAUCUAGAUGCUAAGAAAAUUUUUAAUUAUGAUAUCCAAACACUAUGAAUUUAGAGUAUAUUUCCGAUUAAGAGAUCAUAAAUUCAGAACCUUCCUAUCCAAAGCAUCAACAGAAAUUCAAUGAUUUCAACCUUGUUACAAUUUCAGUUUCUCAAGGAUUCUAUGGGAGGUUAAAAAAAUCUGGCCGUGAGCCAGAACCUGUGAGGUAACCAUUAAUUUCAAGCAAAAAGAUCAUAGAUGAACAAUAACAUACAACUAUGAACAACUACAAAUGAAUUAUACAAUCAUUUUCACAGUUUCUCUUGAUAUGAUAAUACAUCUCAGUACAAGUGUGGCAGUUUCCAGGGCCUUUGUCAGCUCAAAUCUUCCGUCAGCACGUUAAAUCACCUAUGAAACCAGGGUCACCCGUGCAAGGUCAACCAAUUGGAAAAGGCAUUCCAUGCACAAGAUGCAUCAAUGAUGAAGCAAUUUACUCUUCAGUGGUCGAAAGCACAAGCAAGAGAUAACCUUGGGGCUAAAAGUUUUCUUGAGCCAGAAAAUGUUUCAUGCUGCUCUCUUUUUCUGUAUUUCCAAAACUAAAAGUUCUACAAGUUGUCUUCUAUUUCAUCUGGUACGUGAAGCUUUUCAAUAGCAGCCUUAAUUGUAGCAACAUCAGUUGCAGAUGGUUUCAAAUCCAAAGCAAGACCAAAAUGAAGCAUUGCCUUCUCAUGCAUGUUACGCCUCUUAUAGAUCUUACCCAUUAAAGCAUAUACACUACUUUCACGAGGGGCAUACUCUUUGAGCUCUUCUAGAACUUCAAGAGCUUCAUCAAAACUUUCCAAGCUCACAAGUAUAUUUGCCUUUUGAUACAUGGGAAGAGGGUUCUUCUUAUCAGCUAAAAUUGCCCUCUCCAUCAUCUCCAGAGCUUCCUCAUUUUUCAGUCAUAUAAUAUAAAAAUAAUUUCAGACAGCUGCAGAUGAUCAUUAGUUACGUAUUCCAAAAUAUAAAAACUAAUAUACCAAGUGGCAGGACCUUUAAAGCAUGCAAAGCUGUCCCAAGAUAAGACAUUAUAACAGAAGAAUGUGGACUUAUUUGGAAAGCCAUCUGAAAGUGAAGCUCAGAAAACUCAAACUUCUCUUGCCGAAGAUAAAGCAUCCCCAGCCCAUACCAGGAGUUAUAAUGUCUAGCAUCAAUCCGUAAAGCACUCAGGUAACUCUUAAUUCCAUUCUCAAAAUCCUCCAAAGCUACAUAUUCAUGACCACAAAGAGUGUGUGCAUAUGCAAAUCUUGAAUUAAGCUGCACAGCCCGCUGAAAACUUUUUAGAGCAGUUUCGUGGUCUUUUUGCAGACUAUAGCAAUUUCCCAUGGCACACCAAGAUUGAGGAGCUAAGCGGUCAGUUGAUAUCAGUUCUUGAGCCAAGUAACUUAACUUCAUGUCCUCCUUUAAAUGCUGCAACAAAUGUAAGAAUACUUUCUGAUGAAGCAAGUAAUUGAUAUACAGGAAAUAGCAUGAUCCCAGCCUCAAGCAUCACAACUGAAGAUAACCACUUAAAGAGAGCAUUCUAGGGAAAAAAAAUCAAUAUCUGGAUUUUCAAUAGUUGGUAGAGACCACAGAGCAGGCAUCCCCUUACAGUAUAAGUAUGUUGCACCAGUGACAAGCUACAGUGAUGCAGCAGGAAAGGUGCAAAAAGAAGGGAGGGAAAAGAGAGGGAGGGUGGAGGGGGAGGGAGCAUUGAAGCUAAAAGGAAAACAGCAUGCUGUGGAACACAUAUUGUACAUAAUAGUUAAUGUGCUGGGAAUGACCAUCAUGAACCAGUUUCAAUUAUAGUGACUUUCUUUCUUCCCCUGACCAAGGCAGAGACAAAAACAAGAUAAAAACGGGUAUAUUAACAAUAACCUCCUGAGGAAAAAGGAUAAACUGAACUCACAUAUAGAACAGUAGAAUAUAUAUCCAAUCCUUCUAAACUGUAAGGCGAUGCUUGACGGGCAAGACUGAAAAUCCUAGCGGCUUCUAAAUAAUCUACUAAUUCAAAAUAUGCUUUUCCAACCUGGGAAAGAACCCAGCCUGUAUUAUAAUGCUUGAGCGGAAGUUUCAUAUAGAUAUCCAGUGCAUCCUGGCACCUGUACAAGCAGGAAAGUCUGUAGCCAUCUCCAAGAACUCUCAAGAGGCCUAAUAUUUCUGAAGCACCACUUAAAACCUUUGAGGCACUUAUGAUAAGUCCACCAACUGGUAAAGAUGCUGCUUCUGUUUCAAGAGAUCUAGCAUCACCAGAGGGUGAUGAGGCAGAAUUUGUUGUUGUAACAUUUGCAUGUGAAUCAUCAAACGUUUCAUUGCGUAUCCCUUCAUCGCAAUUUUCAUUGCCCCACAACUGUCCCUUACGAACUGUCACAGACCUAAGUGUCAUAGAGCUCAAUUUAGAACCACCAAGAUACUUAGAAGAAUUGCUAAUUCCAUUCCCUGCCACCAAAGUGGAACUUGCAUUUGAGUUGGCCCCCGCUUCAGCAGCAAGUCUUGUACUUCUUCUAGGCCCAGAAUCAGAAAACAACCUCCCAGAAAUCUGAAAACUAGUUAGAGAAACUUAUAUAGAAAUAUGGAAAUCAAAAAACGAAGGAAAAGUACAUUUAAUAUAGAACAAUGGAUAUAUUAAUCACAAGUUUCACAAACUAGCAUAUAGAUGGAUGUCUCACAAAUAAGAUACUGGAAAAAUAACUGGUCAAAAUAACCACAAGCUAUUCAAUAAAAGGGAACCCUAGAAUGUAUAGAUAAAAUCAAACACUCAGACCGAAUUGAUUUAACCAAAAAGAAAUAUACUUGAAGAUACAUGAACAGGUUCAACCAAGAGUCUAGAGUUACAGGAUACAAAAUAGCCAGUGAACUGAUGGUUAAUAACAUCAGCCAAACAAAGAAGACAGUCUCAGGGUUACCCAUAAAGACAAAUUAAAGUAGAAAAUUUCAAUUCCAACAAAUUGCACAAUUAGAAAAGGCACUUAUAAAAUAUACAAAAUUUCCAAGGUUAUAUAUUUGGUUCCUAUCACCAAAAAGAAAAAAAAAAGUAUAUAACAAGAUUUGUAAUUUACCUAUUCUAUCUAGCAUUUGAAUGUCGAAGCUAACAAGAUUCUUCCCAGUCAAUGCACACCUAACAUUCAAACAAAAGUUUGCACAAACUUCCAGUUUUUGUGCCAUAUAAAUUUGCUCAACGAAUGGGAGACUAGAAUACAACAUUAUGCUAUUUGGAAUUCAACAAAUUAUUACAAUUUCUAAUCAUGGAAAGCAUAUUAAAAACAUAAAAAGUUACAAGUUAGGAUCAUAAGAUAUACUAGAAGGAAGAAGGGAGGAAGGAAAGCAGAGAGUUUAAGUUUUAACCUUCCGUAAUUUCCCUUCAUCAACAAAUUUUCUUCUAGGGGCUUGAAUAUUAGAGUUCACAAUUGACCUUGGGGAGUUAUCAGCACCAAGCGUGGUAGUGUUUGGACCAUUUGGCUGUGCAUUUCUACACAAAGGUGGCGGGGCAACACCUGACAACUGUGUGGUCAUUGGUGAAGGAGUGUUAUAAAAUGGUAAGUUUGGAGGACCACCAUUAGUAGGUUGAUUUACAGCUCCUCCUAAUGUUGCAGCUCCAGGAACAUCUCUAAGGUUAUUGCAUUGAGCAUGCUUCAACUGCCUUGGACUAACAUCUUCUGAGCCAACAUUUCUAGUGGAGGGUAAAUUACGAUCCUCAUGGGAGAUAUGCAUGUUUUGGGAAGCUGGUGCAUGGUUUAUGUACUGCUUUUGAAUGCAAAGAGCAGCUGCUUCACCAAAAAAUGCAGUUGCCUCUUCAGCAGCACCUAAUAUGCACAGCUCCUCAUAUGCAGCCCAGAGUAAAGGAUCUAGAGCCAAAGCCUGCUUGAAGUGGUGAAUGGCACUUUUCUGUCUAUCAGUAUACCUAUGAAUAAGCCCAAGAAGGUAAUGCCCAGCUGCAUUAUUUGGAACCUCUGCAUUAGGCUCAUUAGCAGGACAUAAUGCUGCUUCAGCUUCAUUUAGAAGAUCCAUCUGAAAGCAUGAUAUUGCAAACAAGUAGCGGGAUUGAGCCUUUUGUGUGCCUUUUAGAAUAUGAUAUGCAGAGUAAGCUUGAUUAUUUUGCAAAUAGCAUCCAGCUAACAACUGUAAAUUUGUCUCAGAAGGGAACUCGGCACAUAGACGCUCGCACAUAAAAAUGGCGUUUCGGUACAUGAAAUGCCUGAGACUGUUGUUUACACAGUCUACCAGUAUCGCUUCCAUGGCUCCGAUUCACAGAGGAACAGAGGGAGAGAGCCAAAAAGAGGGAUUUUUCUUU
rnacentral:misc_RNA from 1 species